rnacentral:rRNA from 1 species
UGGGGAAUAUUGGACAAUGGGGGCAACCCUGAUCCAGCCAUGCCGCGUGAGUGAUGAAGGCCCUAGGGUUGUAAAGCUCUUUCAACGGUGAAGAUAAUGACGGUAGCCGUAGAAGAAGCCCCGGCUAACUUCGUGCCAGCAGCCGCGGUAAUACGAAGGGGGCUAGCGUUGUUCGGAAUAACUGGGCGUAAAGCGCACGUAGGCGGACAUUUAAGUCAGAGGUGAAAUCCCAGGGCUCAACCCUGGAACUGCCUUUGAUACUGGGUGUCUUGAGUCCGAGAGAGGUGAGUGGAAUUCCGAGUGUAGAGGUGAAAUUCGUAGAUAUUCGGAGGAACACCAGUGGCGAAGGCGGCUCACUGGCUCGGUACUGACGCUGAGGUGCGAAAGCGUGGGGAGCAAACAGGAUUAGAUACCCCCGUAGUCC